rnacentral:rRNA from 1 species
AACGAACGCUGGCGGCAGGCCUAACACAUGCAAGUCGAGCGGACAUCUUCGGAUGUUAGCGGCGGACGGGUGAGUAACGCGUGGGAACGUGCCCUUUGCUUCGGAAUAGCCUCGGGAAACUGGGAGUAAUACCGGAUGUACCCUUUGGGGGAAAGAUUUAUCGGCAAAGGAUCGGCCCGCGUUGGAUUAGGUAGUUGGUGGGGUAAUGGCCUACCAAGCCGACGAUCCAUAGCUGGUUUGAGAGGAUGAUCAGCCACACUGGGACUGAGACACGGCCCAGACUCCUACGGGAGGCAGCAGUGGGGAAUCUUAGACAAUGGGGGAAACCCUGAUCUAGCCAUGCCGCGUGAGCGAUGAAGGCCUUAGGGUUGUAAAGCUCUUUCACCGGGGAAGAUAAUGACGGUACCCGGAGAAGAAGCCCCGGCUAACUACGUG